AUCAGCAACAAAACAAACGUUUUCAUCCAACUCCAAAAUUCACUGGAACCUUUCUUCAUAUUUCAAUAGUUUCCCUAUGGAGAGAACCAUGUGAACAAGAAACUGAUGUCUUUGGACAACAGCCAGCGAGGAUCUGAGACCUGCCAAGAAUUACAUAAAUGUGUUUGUGGAAGUGGAUAUUCAUCUAGCCCAGCCUCGUAUGAUUGGUGCUCCAGCCAACAACUUCAUGACACCCUUGCAAAGCAUCUUGAUCCUGAGAAAUCCACUUAAACUUUGCCCCGAUUCCUGACCCACAGCUUUGGGAUAAUGAACGUCUGAUGUUUUCAGCCACUAAGUUUUGGUAAUUUUUUGUGCCCUGGAAGCUAACAAGUAUAUUUGUUAUCAUUGCAUCUCUCCUUACAAUUUUUUCAAUGUACCCUUAAGUUUGCCUCCCUUCCAAUAUUUGCUUUUACCCUGAGUUUUAGUCUAUUAAUUUCUUACAUUGGCUUAUAGUAAUUAUCUACAUAAUUAUCUAUUAUUUAUAGAACAUAUACUACGUAUUACAAUACAUAGUAGAAAAAAAUUUAGCUUGUUAUUAUGGAGUACUUUAAGUAUAUACAAAAGUAAAGUAAACAAAUAUAAUGGACCCCCAUGCACCUAUCACCUAGCUUCAACACUUAUGGUCAAUAUUGAUAUAGCACAACAAUAUUGACAAAACAACCCAUAGUCAAUAUCAUUUCACCUCUAUGUUUACCCAUUCUUCUCCCUCAGAUUAUUUUCAAGGAAG
rnacentral:lncRNA from 10 species